GCAUAUUCCACAAGUCGUUCAUCGAAGUGAAUGAAGAAGGCACAGAAGCUGCAGCUGCUUCUGCCGGCGUUAUAAGUGAGAGGAGGAUGCCCAUGACAUUUGUGGCUGAUCGUCCAUUCCUCUUCACGAUCAGGGAAGAAACGACCGGAACAGUUCUGUUCAUCGGUAACCUGCUCAACCCUCUUGCCGGCUGAGUGUUACAACCCCCUGGGAAAGGGCAUCAGAUGUACGUAGAAUAAUACGCGCGAGACUGUAGUAAAUAAAAUGUAUGAUCCUUGUAUACAUGUACUAUGUUUGGUUAUUACCUAAUCACCCUGUACUUGCAGCAGUUGGUCUUGUUUCUCCCAUGUGGCGAUUUUUGUUUGUUCUCCCAUGGCGUUUAUCCAUGUGUAGAAUCUUGAUUCUGAAUACUUAUUUUAUGAUGUACUCUGUUUGAACAAUAAAAGUUUUAGCCGACUGCAAACGUCGGUUAGUGUUAAAGUAUUUAAUAUAUAGAAUGGACGAGUGCUAGUGUUGUACCAUACACAUGGUUGGUGAUGAAAAAGAUUAAACUUUGAAUAUUCUAUAAAAUAUUAUUUAACUUGGGACGAGGAUCUUCUUUGUGAGGAUCUUAUGAAUUAAUUUAUCUUAACGGUUCAUUGUACAUCGUGUGACCAUCUUUCAUUAGAUACUUUUUGUGUUAAAUUUUAAAUAAAUUCAAAAUAAUUUUUGGCUGCAGGAUGAUUGAUAAACAGAUAUGAUGCAUUGAUUCCUAAAGUCCUCACAAAGAGAAUCCGGAUGUUUAUAGUCCUCCAUGACUGGAGAUGGCCUAAGAUGCUAAACACUUAACACUACCCAAUUUUUCCAGUUAGUUAAAUUUUCACAAUUAGUGUAUUAAAUUGCUUAAGAAAUGUUAUCAGCACUCUAAAAUAAUUGACCAUAUUUUCUUGACUCUUUUGUUAAAUUGCAUGAAGAUUUUUUUGGAUAGUCAAUAAUAUCUCCCAAUUGCUUAACAUAGAAUUAAAUAGAGUAUCGCUAACUAGAGCAUGAUAUGUUUCUGUGUCUUUGAUGCCCUUUGCUCGAGAAAAUUUAGUAUAGGGUUUUCAUCACAAAUGGUCCCUGACAUUGAUCAAACACAUCAUUUUGGUCCCUGACAUUGAAAAUCAAUAGAAAUGGUCCCUGACAUUGAUCAAACACAUCAUUUUGGUCCCUGACAUUGAAAAUCAAUAGAAAUGGUCCCUGACAUUGAUCAAACACAUCACAAAUAGUCCUUCCGUUAAAAACGUUUUGGGCAAUUUUCAAAGCUUUGUAACUCAAUCGUUUCUUAACCAAAUUCGACCCAUAAUAUAUCAAAAUGAAGAUAGGAAAGUGUAGAACAAGAUUAUACCUAUUUGGAAACCCAAUGGUUGCCGGAGAUGGCCGGAAAACAGCCUCAAAUGUGACUGGUCCGCGAAAAAACUGGAAAACUCGCCUGAAAUGGGGUAAACUUUAAACAUUCAUAACUUCUUCAAUAAUCAACGAAAUCGAGUGAUUCAAAAAUGAAAAUCAUACUUCUCGACGAGACUAAGAGAAUGGUAGCUUUCUUGAUGGCUAACUCAUUGUAGUUUGGCCGGAAAAUGACUCGAAAUUGGCUAACUCGAAAAUGGUUAUCCAAGUUCGAGCCAUUUUCCGGUCAAACCACGGUAAAUUAGUAGUCAAUAAAGAUACCAUUAUCUUUCUCUCAUUGAGAAGUAUGAUUUUCAUUUUUGAAUCACUCAAUUUCAUUGAGUAUUGAAGAAGUUAUGAAUGUUUAAAGUUUACCCCAUUUCAGGCGAGUUUUUCAGUUUUUUCGCGGACCAGUCACAUUUGAGGCUGUUUUCCGGCCAUCUCCGGCAACCAUUGGGUUUCUAAAUAGGUAUAAUCUUGUUCUACACUUUCCUAUCUUCAUUUUGAUAUAUCAUGGGUCGAAUUUGGUUAAGAAACGAUUGAGUUACGAAGCUUUGAAAAUUGCCCAAAACGUUUUUAACGGAAGGACCAUUUGUGAUGUGUUUGAUCAAUGUCAGGGACCAUUUCUAUUGAUUUUCAAUGUCAGGGACCAAAAUGAUGUGUUUGAUCAAUGUCAGGGAUCAUUUGUGAUGAAAACCCUUUAGUAUAUGAACGACAAACUACGUGUUAUUACGGCCACAGACGAUAAUCCAGACUAUUUGUUUAAUACUUAAGCUUACUUGUGGUCCCAUUAUGUAAAAAAAUUUUGCAUUAGUCUGCACACAAGAAAUUUUUUAUUGGUUUCAGUUGAGCUCAAAUAAUAAUAAUCUGUUCGUGUAAAAGUUAAAAUUUAUCUUAUUAUGUAAUUGAUUUAAAAUACCGUAAAUACUGAUUUAAAAUUAUCUCAUUGUCAGCUUGUGUGUCAUUCUCGUAGAAUUUGGAAUUAUUCACAUUGUUUAGUAACGUAGGAUAUUUCAAGAAGCAUUUUUGCUCACUAUCAUUUAGUGUAAUGUAUAUUCAUCAUUCUAUUUAUCAUCGUUAGAUGAGUUUGAAUUUUAAGAUCCGUGUAGUGGAUAGACACAAAUUUCAAAAUUCAAUCUCAUCUAACGAUAAUAAAUAUGAUGAUGAACAUAAAUCAAAUAAAUGAUGAUGAAAAAAAAUACAUAGAUAUUUCAGUACAUGAAAACGUCACGUUAAUGAAAGGAGCUGGAGCGCCUGCUGCUGACCUCGGUCAAACAGACGGUGUGGGUUUCACGUGGCUGGCGCGAAAUCUAAACCGUUAAUUUAAUGUUAGUUAUCUCUCCCCUUGUCACGACUCCCAUGUAAUGCUGUAAAGUCACAAGCACCCAUCGUUUGGUUCUAAUAUUACAACAGUACCGCCCAUGGAAACACAAUCUUAAGCAAUCUCUAAUACUCAUAAUGUUGUUGAAGUUUUGCACUAAUAAUAGUUGCUAAACAGUGAUUAGACAGUCAGAUAAGAGACAGGGUUUAUGAUGUGAUUUGGACGUCCCAUCCUUUGCCACUUAAAAUGUCUUACCUACCAAACAUAUCUUGAAAAAUAAUUUAGCUUGGUACGAAGAAUCACAAUUUUUGUUUAUAAUUGACGAAAUCAAUCAAUGCAUGUUUUUUAUCAAAUCAAUAUUUAUUGGGAUAUUCAUCCUUAAAAUCUUCAUUUUGUUAUAAAACAACAAUAUAUUUAUUAUUUUUAAAAUUUUGUAAUACGUUUAUUUAAGUAGUGACUUUGAACGUUUUAAAAUUGAAAAAUCAAUAUUUAAAUGCAAAGUUGUCCGUUUUGAAUAAUCUCUAACAAUAUUUUCCUUCUCGUAAAUGAGUAAGAUUGGUUUAUUUUGUACACAAUUAGAUAUUGAGAGUUGAAAUUCUAAAUACUAAGUUCUUCUUAACAUAUUUUCGUAACCAUUUAAGAUGUUUGUAUAUUCGAAGAAUAUGGAAAAAUUGAAUCAACCCAGAUUAUUAUUAUGGCUGUCGACAUCUUUUAUCAGAGGAUAGCCAUCAAGUCACACCGCAUAUCCAGAAAGAGAAAUCCAUCCAAAAAAUAGGAAAACGAAAUGACAUUCCUUAUUUUCCUCCAUGGACGUCCCUUCUCUCCCCACCACGAAGGUCCCAGCUGAAAAGAAACGGAUGGCACAAUCGUGAUUAUCACAAACAGGAAUGUCAAAUUGUAGCAAGAGCAUGGUCAGCGCCGUUACAAAUAAGUGGAAGUUCCUCGGAAGAGUAAGAGAACGCGACAAUCAUAACGUAAUCUAUCUCUUCACUUUCUCAAUCCUUUUCUAUCUUUUUUUUCUUUCUGGGUUCCUUGUACUUCUCAUAAAUAUUAAGAGUUUAAUUCAAAAGAAAGGAACUUUCUCUUUCAUUGCUUACAUUUUUUUUUUCAGAUUAUUUACUUUCCCUUCCUUGCAGUUGCUUGGAAGAAACCAAGCUCAGAAGACCUUUGUUUUUUGAGAAUUCAGUUCAAUCCGUUUAUAUAUAUAUAUAUAUAUGGUGUUGAUGAUUUACCAGAAGUGAUAGUGCUUCAACCGAGAAGAAGAAGCUUUUAGUCUUCAGAAAUUCAGAGAAAAGAUAAGGAAGUGGAAGAGUGAAGGAAAAGCAAAUCAAAAGAUGGGAGAAACUGCUCCUCAUCCUCCACCACAGGUGGUUGCUCGGCCGUCUCAGAUGCCUCUUGGGGCAGCGAAGGGUCCCCAUUUGGACUCCAACUGAGCAGCUCCACAACCUUCAGUAUUGCAUCCACUCCAACCCCUCUUAGCGUUAGUCUCUCUCUGUUUCUGUUAAUUUCUUCGUUCUGGGUUUUAUAUUUUUUGAGUAAAAAGCUGAUUAAAGUUGUGCUAUUUUAAUGGGUUGGUUUAAAAGUUGAAGCUUUUGGCACUACUUCUUAUUUAGUUUACUAGUUUGCUUUUUAUUCCUAAUUUUGCAAAUUACUUUUACUAUUUUUGUUUCGGAUUCUCUAAUUUAUUGUGUUCGAAUCUUUUUAAGUACUGUAAUUAGUUCUAAUAAAAUAAUAAGCAUAUGUUCCAUUACCAGUUUCAACUUAUCCUGCUUACAAGACAUCGAUAUCACUCGAAAAUGUUUAGGAAGUGUAAACGUAAAUUUCCCAUGUUUAUCAAAUGCAACAAACUGCUUCUAAUGGAUCGAAUUUUACAGCGGAAACAUUCGUACUCGCUUUUCAGCACUAUAUUGUGAUGCUCGGAUCCAUAGUUAUAAUUGCCACUAGUUUCGUGCCUCGGAUGGGUGGGGAUCAUGUAAGUUAUGUCCUCUAUACAGUAAAGUUUAUAAUAUGCCGGUUAAGAUUAGCGAUCACACACGUAGCUUUGAAUCCGUGAUGUUAAUGUUUGGGUUUUGUUCUCCCUUUGUGAUCAGGGUGACAAGGCACGCGUGAUUCAGACGAUGCUGUUUAUGGCAGCAAUAAACACUUUGAUCCAAACAUUCACGGGACAAGGCUUCCAACAGUGAUGACUUCGUCAUUCGCUUUUACCCUUCCGGUGAUGUCAAUCAUCAAUGAUUAUUCUGAUCGGAAUUUUAGAAGUGAACAUGAGGUAUGUAAAGUUUGAAACAUGUUAUUCAUAGAGGAUUUAACAUCACAUUAAUUUACUUCUUAAAUUGCUUUAAGAAAUUUCAGUUAUAGACUUUGAGAUGAAAAAUACGUGGUGCAAAAAACGUGUAAACCUUACAUACCUGUAGAAGACGUCAUGAUGAAUUUCUGGUUUUGAGGACGGAAUAGAUUGAAGCACGUCCAUGCACUGUUGCGUCAUAUGCAACAAACUGAUGGGGAGUUCUAGGGUUGUGGCAUUAGCAAUGUGACAGGGACCUCAAACUUACAUAGGCCUCACGUCCCUAGAACCCUACCCACUAAUGGAGACUAGAAACUCUUAUGAUCCUCUAACGAGAAUAAUAAAGCCAAUGGAAAUGUUAGCACACAAUUGUUGUACAUAUAACAGACUUCGAGCAAUUUUUGGAACACGUAAAACAUUGUUAAGAAUAAGAUCAUGAGUAUUGGUUUUAAUGGUUGUUGCAUCAAUAUUCUUAAUGGAUAAACCUGUUCCAUUUCCAACUGUGAUUUUAUCAAAACCUUGGAAUGGUGUAACUUGAUUCAAUGUGGUGGCAUCAGCAGUGAUAUGAUGAGAUGCACCAGUAUCAACAAUCCAUGCAUCAUGAGGAAUAUAUUGUUCUAUCUGCUGUGUUGCCAUAGCUGUUAAGUUUGCAGGUGGUUGUUGGCCUUGAAAAACAUAAUUCCCUUUGUGAUAACAUUCAAGAGCUGAGUGACCUUUUUUUCCCACAAAUCUGACACUCCAUUUGAAAUCUAGUAUUUGGUGUAGUAGCAUUUCUGUGAAAACAAUUGACUGCAGUAUGCCCUUUCUUGUUGCAGAUUUGGCACUCAAUCACUGUUGUUGACCUGCUCUCUGUGUUUCCAUUCCACACAUUUGAACCAUUUGACCUUGAAUUGCCAUACGAAAAAUCAGAAGAGUUUCCUAUGUUGUAACCCUUGCUUUUGAAUCCACCAUUUGUCUUGUAAUUAUUGUUACCCUUGUAGUUUGAACCACCAAAAGGUUUCUGCAUGAAAUGAGGUAUUGGACCAGAAUUUGAUGCAUUAGCCAUAAACCCAAAACCAUAGGGAACUUGAGGAUAAACUGGACCAGGAAAUUGCGGAGACAUAGGAGGUUGAGGCAUAUGAGGUUGCUGUGGAUAUUGUUGUGGCAAGACAAAUGGCUGUGGUUAUUGUGGCUGUGGAUAUUGUUGUGGAUAUUGCUGUGGUAAAACAAAUGGCUCAGCAGAAUAUGGAUAUGGAUUAGGAGUUAUAACACCACCAGUGGUUGCAGGUAAAUGACUAUGCCCUGCAGGAUUAGACCCUGAAGCAAAUGAAUUUCCCUGAGUUGACUAAGAACCCUAAACAUAUAAGGCAGAUAGACUUUGAGACCCAACACUUGUGUCUCAUUCAAUCUCUUUUUCAGCUCUAAAUUUUUUCAAGGAAAUGGAUGAUUCUUUGCCAUAUAUCACAGUUCGAAUAGUUGCAUACUCCUUCGGCAAACCAGCUAAACCAGCAAUUAUAACAUCAUUAUCAGAAAUGAACUCUCCAGUAGCAGUUAAUUGUUCUCUUAUACUCUUCAAUCUUAACAGAUAUUUAUCCAUCAAAUCUCCUCAUUUUUGAAUGGUGUACAACUCAAUUUUUAAAUGAUUUACCCUAGUUUUAGACACUGAAGCAAAUCUAUCCACAAGAUUCGACCAAGCCUCACAAGCAGUUAAACAUCCAAGAACAUAUUUAAUAGCCUCAUCAAACAAAGUAGCUAGUAAAAGACUUAGUAAUGGAUAUGUGGAUUCCCAUUCAACAUAUUCAGCAAGUUCAGAAGUAACUCCUCUCUUAGUAUCUAUUACAAAUUUUUGUGGACAACCAAUAGUGCCAUCAAAAUGCCCAAACAAUUUAUGACCUUUCAACACAUAUUUGAACUGAAAAGCCCAUUUCACAAAAUUAUCAUCCUUCAACUUUAUUGUGAUCAUUCCCAGUUUCAACUUUAACACUUGAAGUAGUCAUGAUUUCUUGAUCGAACACAUAGAAUUUGCAAAUAACAAACAAACACCCAAAAAUUUCUGAUAUACGUAUUGAAAGGAAAGACUGAAACUUUCUCACAACCCAAGCAAGACUGAAACUCGCUUAAUACUCAGGAAAAACUGAAACUUUCUUGAUGAAUCUUGCACACAAAUACAACACACAAUUCCAAUUCGGAAAAGAAAACACAAAAUCUUCUAAUCAGGACUGAAACCCAAUUACUCAACAGAAAUUCACACUAUCACUUGAAUUGCAGCUGUGAUUGCAGCCACAAAUAGCCAGAAUACCAACCGCCAGAAAGAACAACAAGGAUCUGCAAUCGCCAGAACUUUUGAACAAACCCGUUGAAAAGACCUUUCAGAAUCCUUGAACUGGAUAGCAGCGAAAGAACUAGGAUCGAAAACGGUAGUGAACCAUGGUCAGCGAUGAUACCAUAUUAACAGUGUUGAAUUGUGGCCAAGUGGCCAUCACCUUUCGGCUAAUAAACAAACAAAGAAAAGAAAAAGAAAGACAAAAUGAUGAGGAAACAUCAUGAUGAGGAGGCAUCAUGAUUAUGCUUUCUUGUAGUUUUUUAAUAACCAUAAUUAUUGUUUUUGUUUCGGGUAGAAGAGAAGAAAGGGAGAGCUCAUUUUUUAGAAGAAAGCAUAUUAAAGAGAGAAGAGGAGAGAGAGAAGGUAGAGCCUUUUGGUUAUAAAAGGCAUUCGAUUAUGCCUUUGGAUGUGGGAGGGGGGGGAGCGGCAGAUGAGAGAGCACAGGGAGAGCAUUCGGCUCUCCCAUUUGAAUAUGAGCUGCUCCUUCCCACCAUUUGUAAUAAUCCCAUUUUGUUAGUAAUCACUCAAUCAAAGAUGUUGGUGCUACUUGUGUAGCUUUUGGGAGAGAAGGAUUUUGAUAUGUGUUUCUUCUUCUCCAUUUGUUUCUUAGUUUGAGUGAGAGCUAUUGGGUGUAUGUGGGAUUUGGGUUUGAGUGUUGAACUCUAUUUGUAAUCUCCUUUUGAUAUUAAUGGAAUUUCCUCGCCGUCUCGGAACUGGAUGUAGGCUUACGCCAAACCAGUAUAAAAAUCCUUGUGUCUUUUGGAUUAUUUGUCUUGUCAUAUUUUGCCGUUAUUAGCUUUGAUUUCAUAUUUGAAGCUUCCGCACAACAAGUGGUAUCAAAGCUCCGGGUUUCGACUUGGAGGCUUUGUACUAGUAUGUCUAUGAAAUCUUCAAAUGACGGUGAAAUAUGUUUUUUGGAAAAAUUCGACUGGAGGAAUGACUUUGGCAUUUGGUCAAUUGGAGAUGCAGAGUUUGGCUGCAAAAUGCGUGGCGUUGAAGAAGGAUAGUAAGGGACUAUGCUGCAGUCAUUGAGCUUGCAGAUUGGAGAAUGGUUUCGGAAACAGCGUGUCUGCUGCAAUGUUGCCGUCGAUGUUGUUGAAGUGUUGGUGUUCGACAGCUGCAGAUGUAGUGUACUGCUUUUGGUGGGUUCUCUGUUGGUCAUCGCUGCACCGGAGGUGUUUGUGGGCUGUUGUCGACGAGUUGAGUGGGAAGGAGAAAAGGUAGAAGCAGUUGAAAAUUGAAAAGAAAAUGUUGGUUCUUUUUCUUUCGGCAUUUGUUUUGGCAGAAGGACAUCAUGAUGACAAAUGAUGUUGUUGGCUGGAAGAAAAGGGAAAAAGGCUAAGGCUAAGUUUUCUUUUCUUUGGCAUUUUUUCAACGGCAGAAAAUUUUUGGUUCUUUUUUCACUCCCAUUAGUUGCCUUUGGAGCAAGUUGAUGGAAACAUUGGAGGAGUUUGUGAGGGCCAAUUUGUUGAGUUCUGCAAGUUUGGAUAGUGAGGCACCACACUAUUUUGGAUACACCACAUGCACUGCAGAACAUUUGUGUGGAACCCUCUUGUAGAAGGCAAGUUAUAUGCUUUCUAACUUUGUUUGGUCUAUGGACAUUUAGUUGGAUUUGUUUGCCACUGCUAUUUGGUUUGUUGGUCUCCAUCAUCUGCAAUUAGUUUUCUUGAAGACUCCAGUUGAGGUAUGGUUUUGGAUCUCCUGCUGAUUAUUUGAAUUUGAAAUUUUUGGUUGUCCUGUUGGUGCUCAUGUGAUGAUGGUAAACUUGAGUGGAGGGCAUAGUUUUUUUGUAUGUGGUAUGUUAGACCUUGUUGCCAAAUUUGUAAUCAGUUUUGACUUGGAGAAUAUGCCGUGCUAUUUGAAUGAGUCUAUUGAUGCAGUUUAAGACCAUGGUGUUUGUAAGCAGGUGGAGUUCGUUCUGUGUCCAACUUUGGUAUGGUGUGCUUGAUCUUUUGUUAGUGAUAUUGAAGAAUUUCAGUUCUUCGUUUGAAUCACUUUUGUUUUGAUCAAGGCACUUAUGGUUUGCAAAUUUGGAGAAUACGGUAGAGAAAUGGUCUACUUUUGUUGGCUUUGGUAUAAUUUGAGUCGAGGUGGAGAUCAUUAUGAGUACCGGAAAGUUUGGGGAAUUUGAUUUAGUUCCCGUUGUCUUUAGUUUGUACUUUGGGUGAUUAUGGUGAUUGUUGAUUCGAUUCUCUGUGAUGGUUUCGGAACUUGGCCAAGGUGGAGAUUGUUGAAUUGUGGCCAAGUGGCCAUCAUCGGCUAAUAAACAAACAAAAGAAAAGAAAAAGAAAGACAAAAUGAUGAGGAAACAUCAUGAUGAGGAGGCAUCAUGAUUAUGCUUUCUUCUUUUGUGGUUUUUUAAUAACCAUAAUUAUUGUUUGUUUAUUAGCCGAAAGGUGAUGGCCACUUGGCCACAAUUCAACAAUCUCCACCUUGGCCAAGUUCCGAAACCAUCACAGAGAAUCGAAUCAACAAUCACCAUAAUCACCCAAAGUACAAACUAAAGACAACGGGAACUAAAUCAAAUUCCCCAAACUUUCCGAUACUCAUAAUGAUCUCCACCUUGACUCAAAUUGUACCAAAGCCAACAAAAGUAGACCACUUCUCUACCGUCUUCUCCAAAUUUAAAUCCUAUGAAGAAAGGGAGAGCUCAUUUUUUAGAAGAAAGCAGAUUGAAGAGAGAAGAGGAGAGAGAAGGUAGAACCUUUUGGUUAUAAAAGGCAUUCGAUUAUGCCUUUGGAUGUGGGGAGAGCGGCAGAUGAGAGAGCACAGGGAGAGCAUUCGGCUCUCCCAUUUGAAUAUGAGUUGCUCCUUCCCACCAUUUGUAAUAAUCCAAUUUUGUUAGUAAUCACUCAAUCAAAGAUGUUGGUGCUACUUGUGUAGCUUUUGGGAGAGAAGGAUUUUGAUAUGUGUUUCUUCUUCUCCAUUUGUUUCUUAGUUUGAGUGAGAGCUAUUGGGUGUAUGUGGGAUUUGGGUUUGAGUGUUGAACUCUAUUUGUAAUCUUCUUUUGAUAUUAGUGGAAUUUCCUCGCCGUCUCGGAACUGGAUGUAGGCUUAUGCCGAACCAGUAUAAAAAUCCUUGUGUCUUUUGGAUUAUUUGUCUUGUCAUAUUUUGCCAUUAUUAGCUUUGGUUUCAUAUUUGAAGCUUCAGCAAUACAAACAGUACAAGAUCAAUGAAUUCCUAUGAAUGAAUAAACUAAAGAAAUCGAAGAAAGAGAAUAACGAGAGAGAAAAGCUUUUCAUUUAUAUUGCUCUAACAGAAAAUGAUUACAUGAUAAAAAUCUAAGUCUCCAAAACAAUAAUUAUAUAGAGACUAGAAUGAGCAGAAUCACAAUAUUGCCUUUCUAACUAAUUCUUAUCUUCUAACAACCUCAACACUCACAAGCUUGACACUUGUCAUUUCUUACAACCACUCCUAACAAAUCCUAACUGUUUAUCUGGUUAAUAUAACGGAUGGCCGACGACCGACACCGAGAUUUUCCCAAACCUUGGUCCUUACUCUCGUAUAAAUUCGAAACGAACAGUAAACAAUUUUCUCGCAAUCGGAAGCACGGCAAACAUGGAUCUGAGAGAAAGCAUCAUCAACCAAAACGACGUCGCAAGGAGGCUGACGAAGCAGCUGGUUCAGACCGAAGGCAAGCAGUCGAACCUCGUGUACUCGCCGCUGUCCAUCCACGUGGUGCUGAGCCUGAUCGCAGCCGGGUCAAAGGGUCCCACCCAGGAGCAGCUGCUCUCAUUCCUCAAGUCAGAGUCCACCGACCACCUCAACUCCUUCGCCUCCCAGCUCCUGCCCUUUAUCUUCUCCGAUGGGUCCCCCGUGGGCGGCCCCAAGCUGGCGUUUGCGAAUGGCGUUUGGGUGCAGAAGCCUCUCCCUCUGAAGCCUUCCUUCAAGCAGGUGGUGGAAGCUUCUUACAGGGCCGCUCUCGUCCUAGUUGAUUUUCAGACCAAUGUAAGCUCCCAAACCCUCUGUCAUGUCGUUUCGAUUGUUUUUGUCGAUGCUGCUCAUGAUCAAAGUCUUUGGUUGUAAUUUCAGACCAAUGUUUCAAUGUCGAUGCUGCUGAUGCUCUUUUGUUCGUUACUGUUUUUGGUUGUAAUUGAUCGAGAUAUGCAGGUUGAUAUCAUUGUUUUCUAACUUGUCGUAACUGUUGUUGGUGCUCAAGGCUGCUCAAGUGGAGUCGGAAGUGAAUUCAUGGGCUGAAAAGGAGACGAGCGGCCUUAUCAAGGAUCUACUUCCUCCCGGGUCACUUGACAGCUUCACCAGGCUCAUCUUUACCAAUGCAUUAUACUUCAAGGGAGCUUGGAAUGAGAAAUUUGAUGCAACAGCUACAAAAGAGCAUGACUUCCACCUUCUCGACGGGAGCACAGUUAAGGCGCCCUUCAUGACCAACAAGAACCAGCAGUAUGUAAGUGCCUUUGACGGUUUCUCAGUCUUAGGGCUUCCUUACAAACAAGGUGAAGACAAGCGGCGCUUCUCCAUGCACAUCUUUCUUCCACAGGAGAAAGAUGGGCUGCCAGCUUUGGUUGAGAAACUUGGCUCUGAGUCCGGGUUUUUAGAUCGCUAUCUUCCCAAACAACCAGUUGCAGUGGGCGACUUCAGAAUCCCAAAGUUUAAGAUCUCAUUUGGGUUUGAAGCUUCCAAUGUCCUAAAGAGUCUGGGACUGGUGCUGCCUUUCGUGGGUGGAGGUCUGACAGAGAUGGUGGACUCGCCCGAGGGUAAGAAGCUAUAUGUUUCCAACAUAUUCCACAAGUCGUUCAUCGAAGUGAAUGAAGAAGGCACAGAAGCUGCAGCUGCUUCUGCCGGCGUUAUAAGUGAUAGGAGGAUGCCCAUGACAUUUGUGGCUGAUCGUCCGUUCCUCUUCACGAUCAGGGAAGAAACGACCGGAACAGUUCUGUUCAUCGGUAACCUGCUCAACCCUCUUGCCGGCUGAGUGUUACAAUCCCCUGGGAAAAGGCAUCAUGUGUACGUAGAAUAAUACGAGAGUAUAGUAAAUAAAAUGUAUGAUCCUUGUAUACAUGUGCUAGGUUUGGUUAUUACCUAAUCACCCUGUACUUGCCGCAGUUGGUCUUGUUUCUCCCAUGUGGCGAUUGUUGCUCGUUCUCCCAUGGCGUUUAUCUAUUUGUACAAUCUUGAUUCUGAAUACUUAUUUUAUGUUGUACUCUGUUUGAACAAUUAAAGUUUUAGCCGACUGCAAACGUCGGUUAAGUGUUAAAGUAUUUGGACAGGGAUUGUCUGCUUUUUCAUUUUUCGUGUCCUUCUGUUUUGUGUGUUCACAGUUAAACUACGUCAAUAUUUUAUAUUAUUUUUUUAUAGAAAUAAUAAGAUAAAAAUAAAUAAUAAUAUAAAAUAUUAACGUGACUUAACUGUAACCACACAAACAGGAGGGCACGGAAGACCACCGGAAGUGGAAGAGCGGACAUUCUUGUCCAAAGUAUUUAAUAUAUAGAAUGUACGAGUGCUAGUGCUGUACCAUAUACAUGGUUGGUGAUGAAAAGGAUUAAACUAUGAAUAUUCUAUAAAAUAUUAUUUACCCUAGGACGAGGAUUUUCUUUGGAUCUUCUUUACGAGGAUCUUAGGAAUUAAUUCAUUUUAACGGUUUAUUGUACAUCGUACGGUCAACUUUCGUUAGAUACUUUUUAUGUUUAAUUUUAAAUAAAUUCAAAAUAAUUUUUCACUGCAUGAUGCAUUGAUUCCUAAAGCACUCGCAAAGAGACUCCAGAUGUUUAGUUCUCCAUGACUGGAGAUGGCCUAAGAUGCUAAACACUUAACACUAACCAAUUUUUCCGGUUAGUUAAAUUGUUUAAUAAAUGCUAUCCACACUCUAAAAUAAUUGACCAUAUUUUCUUGACUCUUUUGUUAGAUUGCAUGAAAUAUUGUUCGAGUAAAUAAUCUCUCAAGUAUCACUCAGACUUCAUAAUGAUUUUGAUUUUGAUUACAUAGUAAGCAUGUCAUUAAGGUCAAAUUUUGAACAAACACCCAAUUACAUAGCACGCAUGUUAUUAUGGUGUAUGCUCAUUGUCACUUUCAAAACUUGACACCUGUCUACUAACAUAACCGAUGGCCGACGACCGACACCUUCCCAAACCUUGGUCCUUACCCUCGUAUAAAUUCGAAACGAACAGUAAACAAUUUUCUCGCAAUCGGAAGCACGGCAAACAUGGAUCUGAGAGAAAGCAUCAUCAACCAAAACGACGUCGCAAGGAGGCUGACGAAGCAGCUGGUUCAGACCGAAGGCAAGCAGUUGAACCUCGUGUACUCGCCGCUGUCCAUCCACGUGGUGCUGAGCCUGAUCACAGCCGGGUCAAAGGGUCCCACCCAGGAGCAGCUGCUCUCAUUCCUCAAGUCAAAGUCCACCGAUCACCUCAACUCCUUCGCCUCCCAGCUAGUGUCCGUGAUCUUCUCCGAUGGGUCCCCCGUGGGCGGCCCCAAGCUGGCGUUUGCGAAUGGGCUUUGGGUGCACAAGCCUCUCACGCUGAAGCCUUCCUUCAAGCAGGUGGUGGACGCUUCUUACAAGGCAGCUCUCGCCCUAGUCGAUUUUCAGACUAAUGUAAGCUCCCAAACCCUCUGUCAUGUCGUUUCGAUAGUUUUUUUUUCAAUGCUGCUCAUGAUCAAAGUCCUGAAUUUUUUUUCCCGAUUUGAUUAGAGAUGUAUAAAUAUUUCCUAAAUUGCAGGCCUGCUGAUGCUCUUUUAUUCUUGUAGCAUUUCAACUAAAUAUUUCCUCUCUAAUCAUUACUGUUUGUGCUUGUUCUUGUGCAUAGCCGUUACGAAAUCGUAUCGAAGAUUUUUUUGUUCGUUACUGUUUGUGGUUAUAAUCUAGGUAUUAAAUAUUGAUAAUAUCGGAAAUAUCGGUAGUCCAGAAACACGGAAAUAUUGAUGGAAAUAUCGGGAUAUUAUCGAUAUGUAUAAAAAUAAUAUGGAAACCACGGAAAUUGUAAGAAAAACUUGGAAAUUUUUAUUGAAACUUUGCAGGAUGUUUAUUUAGUCAAUUAUCUAUUAGUUUAUCACAAAAUAUUGGAAGGAAAUGUAUUACAUAAUAGAUUUAACUGAUUUAAGUUGAUUAUAUAGCGAACUAGCGAACUACCAAACAUUAUGAGUUAGAAAAUAUGUAGUAAUUAAUAAAAGAAGUUUAAACACACAGUCACCGACUAUUAAAAAUUGUACAUGUAAAAGCUGUAAAAGUUGAAUUAUUUAGAUGCUUUUUUUUCUUACAUGCCACCCACACACACACACACACAGACUCUCACACGCCAACACACACGCACACACAGAUCACACACACAUCACACACACAGACAGAGACUGAGGUCUCUCUUUCUCGAUCCUUCUCUCUUCUCUCUCGAUCCUUCUCCCUUCUCUUCGACAGAGACUGAGGUCUAUCUCUCUCUCGAUCCUUCUCUCUUCUCUCCCUUCUCCAUUCUCCCACACACACACCCAGAUCUCUCGAUCUCUCUUCUCCCUUCUCCCACACACACGCACAGAGACCUCGCCCCUCCCCCCUCGUCAUCGUCUCCACCGCAAAUCUAGGUCUUUGAACGUAAAUUGCAGGCCUGCUGAUGCUCUUUUAUUCUUGUAGCAUUUCAACUAAAUAUUUCCUCUCUAAUCAUUACUGUUUGUGCUUGUUCUUGUGCAUAGCCGUUACGAAAUCAUAUCGAAGAUUUUUUGUUUGUUACUAUUUGUGGUUAUAAUCUAGGUAUUAAAUAUUGGUAAUAUCGGUAGUCCAGAAACACGGAAAUAUUGAUGGAAAUAUCGGGAUAUUAUCGAUAUGUAUAAAAAUAAUAUGGAAACCACGGAAAUUGUAAGAAAAACUUGAAAAUUUUUAUUGAAACUUUGCAGGAUGUUUAUUUAGUCAAUUAUCUAUUAGUUUAUCACAAAAAAAUUGGAAGGAAAUGCAUUGCAUGAUAGAUUUAACUGAUUUAAGUUGAUUAUAUAGCGAACUAGCGAACUAGCAAACAUUAUGAGUGUAGAAAAUAUGUAGUAAUUAAUGAAAGAAGUUUAAACACACAGUCACCGACUAUUAAAAAUUGUACAUGUAAAAGCUGUAAAAGUUGAAUUAUUUAGAUGUUUUUUUUUCUUACAUGCCAUCCACACACACACACACACACAGACUCUCACACGCCAACACACACCACGCAUACACAGAUCACACACACAGACAGAGACUGAGGUCUCUCUCUCUCGAUCCUUCUCUCUUCUCUCUCGAUCAUUCUCCAUUCUCUCUCGACCUAGACUGACUCUCUCUCUCUCUCUCUCUCUCUCUCUCUCUCUCUCUCUCUCUCUUUCCCACACACACACAGAUCUUUCGAUCUCUCUUCUCCCUUCUCCCACACACACGCACAGAGACAUCGUCCUUCGUCAUCGUCAUCGUCUCCCACACACACGCACAGAGACCUCGCCCCUCGUCAUCGUCUCCACCGCAAAUCUAGGUCUUUGAACGUAAAUUGCAGGCCUGCUGAUGCUCUUUUAUUCUUGUAGCAUUUCAACUAAAUAUUUCCUCUCUAAUCAUUACUGUUUGUGCUUGUUCUUGUGCAUAGCCGUUACGAAAUCGUAUCGAAGAUUUUUUGUUCAUUACUGUUUGUGGUUAUAAUCUAGGUAUUAAAUAUUGGUAAUAUCGGAAAUAUCGGUAGUCCAGAAACAUGGAAAUAUUGAUGGAAAUAUCGGGAUAUUAUCGAUAUGUAGAAAAAUAAUAUGGAAACCACAAAAAUUGUAAGAAAAACUUGAAAAUUGUUAUUGAAACUUUGCAGGAUGUUUAUUUAGUCAAUUAUAUAUUAGUUUAUCACAAAAAAUUGGAAGGAAAUGCAUUGCAUGAUAGAUUUAACUGAUUUAAGUUGAUUAUAUAGCGAGCUAGCAAACAUUAUGAGUAGAAAAUAUGUAGUAAUUAAUGAAAGAAGUUUAAACACACAGUCACAGACUAUUAAAAAUUGUACAUGUAAAAGCUGUAAAAGUUGAAUUAUUUAGAUACUUUUUUUUCUUACACGCCACCCACCCACACACACACACACACUCUCACACGCCAACACACACGCACACACAUACACACAUCACACACAGACAGAGACUGAGGUCUCUCUUUCUCGAUCCUUCUCUCUUCUCUCUCGAUCAUUCUCCCUUCUCUCCGACAGAGACUGAGGUCUCUCUCUCUCUCUCGAUCCUUCGCUCUUCUCUCCCUUCUCCAUUCUCCCACACACACACACAGAGAUCUCUCGAUCUCUCUUCUCCCUUCUCCCACACACACGCACAGAGACAUCGUCCCUUGUCAUCGUCAUCGUCUCCCACACACACAUACACAGACCUCGCCCCUCGCCCCUCGUCAUCGUCUCCAUCGCAGAUCUAGGUCUUUGAAUGUCAAAGUUUCGAGCGCACCUCAAAUCCAGGCAAUCUGAUUCUGACGCUGUAGUCGUCGCCGCCACCACCAACUUCCUAAGCCAAGAAUGGAGAACCUGAUCUCGUUGGUGAACAAAAUCCAGAGGGCUUGUACUACUCUAGGGGACUAUGGCGAAGGUAGUGCAUUCGUCGUCGCCGUCGUCGCCAUCGCCGUCAGUGGUCAGAUCAACUCCCGGUCCCUCACCUUCUUACCUCUUCGAUUGAUUCAUGCAUAUGAAUUGUGGUUGUGUUUUCAAUCGCUCUGUAGCUUAGAUCUUGAUCUUAAUCAUGUUUUUGCAAGGUUUUUGGGAUGAAAUCGGCUCGGGAAUCGGCACACCCAUUUCCGGCGUUCUUCUCCGAGUAGCCAGUUCCAAAAAUAUCGUGAUAAUUUCGGAAAUAUUACGAUAUUAUCGAUAGUAUAGCUAUAUUUUGACGAAAACCCUUUGGAUACCUAUUAAAAUAUCGGUCCGGCGAAAAACCGAUAAUAUCGACGAUAUAUUGGCGAUUUUGUUCCUUGGUUAUAAUUGAUCGAGAUAUGCAGGCUGAUAUCAUUGUUUUCUAACUUGUCGUAACUGUUGUUGGUGCUCAAGGCUGCUCAAGUGGCGUCGGGAGUGAAUUCAUGGGCUGAAAAGGAGACGAGCGGCCUUAUCAAGGAUCUACUUCCUCCCAGGUCACUUGACAGCUCAACCAGGCUCAUCUUUACGAAUGCAUUGUACUUCAAAGGAGCUUGGACUGAGAAAUUUGAUGCAUCAGCUACAAAAGAGCAUGACUUCCACCUUCUCGACGGGAGCACAGUUAAGGCGCCCUUCAUGACCAGCAAGAGGAAGCAGUAUGUAAGUGCCUUUGACGGUUUCUCAGUCUUAGGGCUUCCUUACAAACAAGUUGAAGACAAGCGGCGCUUCUCCGUGCACAUCUUUCUUCCAGAGGAGAAAGAUGGGCUGCCAGCUUUGGUUGAGAAACUUGGCUCUGAGUCCGGGUUUUUGGAUCGAUAUCUUCCCAAACAACCAGUUGCAGUGGGCGACUUCAGAAUCCCAAAGUUUAAGAUCUCAUUUGGGUUUGAAGCUUCCAAUGUCCUAAAGAGUCUGGGACUGGUGCUGCCUUUCGAGGGUGAAGGAGGUCUGACAGAGAUGGUGGACUCGCCCGAGGGUAAGAAGCUAUAUGUUUCCAGCAUAUUUCACAAGUCGUUCAUCGAAGUGAAUGAAGAAGGCACAGAAGCUGCAGCUGCUUCUGCCGGCGUUAUAAGUCAGAGGAGUAUGCCCAUGACAUUUGUGGCUGAUCAUCCAUUCCUCUUCACGAUCAGGGAAGAAACCACAGGAACAGUUCUGUUCAUCGGUAACCUGCUCAACCCUCUUGCCGGCUGAGUGUUACAAUCCCCUGGGAAAAGGCAUCAUGUGUACGUAGAAUAAUACGAGACUAUAGUAAAUAAAAUGUAUGAUCCUUGUAUACAUGUGCUAGGUUUGGUUAUUAC
rnacentral:lncRNA from 1 species